GUGGGGAAUCUUGCGCAAUGCGCGAAAGCGUGACGCAGCAACACCGCGUGGGGGAAGAAGGCCUUCGGGUUGUAAACCCCUUUCAGGAGGGACGAAGGUGCGACGGUGAACAGCCGAUCGCACUGACGGUACCUCCAGAAGAAGCCCCGGCUAACUACGUGCCAGCAGCCGCGGUAAUACGUAGGGGGCAAGCGUUGUCCGGAAUCAUUGGGCGUAAAGCGCGCGUAGGCGGCCCGGUAAGUCCGCUCUGAAAGUCCAGGGCUCAACCCUGGAAUGCGGGUGGAUACUGCCGGGCUAGAGUCCGGAAGAGGCGAGUGGAAUUCCUGGUGUAGCGGUGGAAUGCGCAGAUAUCAGGAGGAACACCAAUAGCGAAGGCAGCUCGCUGGGACGGUACUGACGCUAAGGCGCGAAAGCGUGGGGAGCGAACAGGAUUAGAAACCCCAGUAGUCC
rnacentral:rRNA from 1 species